rnacentral:tRNA from 1 species
GUUCUUGUAGCUUACAACCAAAGCAUGGCACUGAAGCUGCCAAGACGGCUGUCACUCACACCCAAGAACA